rnacentral:rRNA from 1 species
GAUCCUGGCUCAGAUUGAACGCUGGCGGCAGGCCUAACACAUGCAAGUCGAACGGUAACAGGAAGCAGCUUGCUGCUUCGCUGACGAGUGGCGGACGGGUGAGUAAUGUCUGGGAAACUGCCUGAUGGAGGGGGAUAACUACUGGAAACGGUAGCUAAUACCGCAUAACGUCGCAAGACCAAAGGAGGGGUACCUCGGGCCUCUUGCCACUCGGAUGUGCCCAGAGUGGGUAGUUAGCGUAGUAGGGG